GGAACUCGUACCCAAACAAUUAAGGAGAUGGAUCGAAGGCCUGAAAUCAUCCUCCUUUUCAUAUCUAAAUGAAAUGGUGUUAAGUAUAAUUAAUUAUAUUGAUUUGAUUUGGGUAAAAUACUCGUUGUUGAUUAAUGUUUAAUUCCCGUAGAUGAGAAAUGAUUUGAAAAUGGUUUGAAAUAGUAUGAGGUUCUUAUUAAAGAAAAAGACUUGGUAUGAUUUUGAAAAAUAUACUUGAUGUUGAUCAAACACCUUUUAUUUUAGUAUUUUUGAAAGGUUAAUUUUAAUGGUCAUUUUGUCUUUUUGUAUUAACAAUUACGUAUCAAUUAAAAAUACAAUAAAAUAAACAAACAAAUAAAGCAAUAGAAAAAUAAAAGAAAUAAUAAAAGGGAAGUGACACACUAUCAAUACAAGAGGUAAAAUAAUUUUAAAA
rnacentral:lncRNA from 1 species